AGUGGAGGGAGCGCUCUUCAAGUGAAGCCAGCGCCGCCAUGUUGUGGUGGGCAGAAAGCUCGGCUCGGCUGGCUCGGUGGCGGCCAGCGCUGCCAGUUCACCUGCAGCGACGGUGGAUUGCGGUUCGUGCGCCUGUCUUUCCUUGACAAGUGUGUCUCUGCAGUGCAUUCGAAUGCGUGCGGCUCGAUUCAAGCGAGCAUGGUACAAUCCUGCGUAGCGUAUGGGUGCACAAAUCGCGCGAUUCCUGCUUCCAAGAUCACAUUUCACAGGUUUCCAAAAGAUGCUGAGACACGGAACCUAUGGGAGCGAGCUGUGCGUCGUGAACACUGGAAACCGACAGAUAAAGAUCGCCUUUGCUCUGCGCACUUUGAUCCGGCGUGUUUUGACCGGACCGGACAAACAACAAGGUUGAAAGCGGGAAGUGUGCCGACUUCGUUCGCUGCUUUUCCUGCCCACCUCCAGGCACCGGUAAGCAUCGGAACUUCGCAGAUAUAGUGCUCUGACAUCAAGGAGGUUGGAAUGACGUAGACAUAUCUCUUCUGUCGUGUUUUGUCGACGUGACUGCAUUGCUGCGUGUUUCCUCGCGAGCUUUUCGUCCCGUUCGCUCGUUUACAAUAUCGCUCAACACACGAUUAGCGCAUGAUCAUUGUCGAAUGUUCCCGAACAUGCUUUCGUGAAUACAUAUAUUCAUGUUAUGAGCAAUAAUUGAAGUAUAUAUAUCAUUCUAAAAGUAGUUAAUUUCCACUAUGUGCUUAUUUCAGGUGAAAAGGAAGCGGCCAGCACCAAAACCUCGAGGAUGCAGUCCUGCUCAGCAGCAAGAGGCCUUAAAUACUGAAGAUCAUGUCACUGUAUCACCAUCAAAGCAGUGGUACAAGACGAAGUUGCAGGAAACAGAAGACGAAAGAUUGCACUUGAAGAAAAAAAUUAAAACGUUGCAGCAGAGCAAACGAAGGCUGACACAAAAGAAAAUCACCGCUGAAGAAAUUAUUAGAGGCAUCGAAGAACAAAAGCUUUUGUCAGAAGAGGGCUCCAAGAUGUUCGAUGCAGCAUUUUCUCCUGACAUACAACAGCUGCUUCACCGGGCACGGACAGAAAGUGGAGGUAAAUACCCUCCAGAGCUGCGAACGUUUGCACUAACUUUACAUUUCUACUCACCAGCAGCCUACGAAUUUGUGCGAUCAAAGUUUAAUGACGCCCUCCCUUCGCAGCGCACAAUCAGAGAAUGGUAUAGGUCUGUUGAUGGCCAACCAGGCUUUACAGGUGAAGCAUUUUCUUUCUUGGAGAAGUUGGUUCAAGGUCGCUCUGAAACUCUUUACUGCGCUCUGAUUGUCGAUGAUAUGUCGAUUAGGAAACAUGUUGAACUUGUCGGA